rnacentral:lncRNA from 1 species
UGAGGACAUGCGGAAAGUUUUUGUGCUGGGGACAGCUGUGACGAAGGAGCACAAAUACCAGAUUUUAUUCAAACCAGCCAUAGUUUUCCAUGGAGCAAGAAGAAUGCGGUUUGAUGCUAGUGCUAAAAUGAAGCGCUGGGAGCAGUGGGAAAAGGAAACUGAGAAGGAGUCCAUGUCUGCAGGAGAAGCCUGCAGGGCAGGUGGUAAGUCAGGUGCCCAACCUGGGGCAGCCCAAACCCUCAUUCCCGAGCAGGGGCAGGCAAGGCUGCUGUGUUCAAGUGCAUUGUUGCACGUGAGCAGAACAACCCGUGGUCAAGAAAGUCAAAUGAGUUUGUGUAACACCGCUGCCUUAGAACUUCCUCCCUAGCAGGUCUGGAUGGAUACUGAUUCCCCAUCUCUCUACUCAAAAAACAGAGGGAGCAUGCAGUCACACUGGCGUCUGCAUCACGGUAAGGACAUGAAGGCGUUAAUCCAGCAAACCUCAGAAGUCACAGAGGAGACCUAUGGGAUUUCUGCUGCAGUCAGCGGGGCUGCUCACAGUUUUAAAGCCAUGCUUUGCUGAAGGAAGUCUCUCAAGCUCAGCUUUCAAGGGACUGAGAAGCUUUUGAAAAUUGGGUACUGAGCAUCCAGUUUUAGUUGGGAAUAAUGCUUUCUCUUCUCCAUAUGAUACACCUGAACUUCAGGAACCAGUCAAAUUAACUUAGCUUUCCUGUAUUAUGCAAUAUAUAUUGCCUCCAGAUACUCACCUUGAAGCCAGUACCUAUUUCCUAGCCAGAAGGCUGAAAAAUACUCUGAGAAAUGUCUCUGAAAUCGUUAUUUCUGAAAUGUGAUAAUCCAGCUUGAAGGAGAAGAAAGCAGUAAACCUAUUUUUGAGUAUGCUAAGGGAUUUUUUUUCCUUUAUGUCUCUUCCUCUCUAUCCAAAUCCUUGAGUCCGUUUAUUGCCUUCUUUGAUUGAAAUGCUUCGUUGCUGAAGGGCUGCUUCUGCUGGGCUCUGGCUGCUGGUGAGCACUUUAGUUUCAAAACGUGCACACAGAGAAUGUGUCAUUAGGGAAGAAGGUGCUGCUGAGGGGAAGUCAAGGUUAAGGUUAUCUCCUCUGAAUAUCAGACAAGAUGCUAAAGAGGUAUCUUUAUUUUCACAUAUAUAUUUAAAAAAUGAUUUUAAAACCUCUACUGAAG